rnacentral:rRNA from 1 species
UACGAAGGGGGCUAGCGUUGUUCGGAAUCACUGGGCUUAAAGGGCGCGUAGGCGGACCGCCAAGUCGGGAGUGAAAUCUUUCGGCCCAACCGGAAAAGGGCUUCCGAUACUGGCGAUCUCGAGGGAGGUAGGGGUCGAGGGAACUGGUGGUGGAGCGGUGAAAUGCGUAGAUAUCACUAGGAACGCCGGUGGCGAAAGCGCUCGACUGGACCUCUUCUGACGCUGAGGCGCGAAAGCCAGGGGAGCAAACGGG